CCUCUGCGUCUGCGCAACGCCGAGCCCGACGCACAAUGCCUGCUCUGUCACGGCGCGUUUUGUUCGUUCGGCUCGCGUUGCGCAGGCACGGCCA
rnacentral:pre_miRNA from 1 species